UGAGUAACGCGUGGGUAACCUGCCUUAUACAGGGGGAUAACAGUCAGAAAUGGCUGCUAAUACCGCAUAAGCGCACAGAGCUGCAUGGCUCAGUGUGAAAAACUCCGGUGGUAUAAGAUGGACCCGCGUUGGAUUAGCUUGUUGGCAGGGUAACGGCCUACCAAGGCGACGAUCCAUAGCCGGCCUGAGAGGGUGAACGGCCACAUUGGGACUGAGACACGGCCCAGACUCCUACGGGAGGCAGCAUG
rnacentral:rRNA from 1 species